rnacentral:rRNA from 1 species
UACGAAGGGGGCUAGCGUUGUUCGGAAUCACUGGGCGUAAAGGGCGCGUAGGCGGCCGCUCAAGUCGGGGGUGAAAGCCUGUGGCUUAACCACAGAAUUGCCUUCGAUACUGUUUGGCUUGAGACCGGAAGAGGUGAGUGGAACUGCGAGUGUAGAGGUGAAAUUCGUAGAUAUUCGCAAGAACACCAGUGGCGAAGGCGGCUCACUGGUCCGGUACUGACGCUGAGGUGCGAAAGCGUGGGGAGCAAACAGG